rnacentral:tRNA from 1 species
GUGUGGGUAGAUUAAGGGGAUAGAUCGCUAAGCUGUUAACUUGGAGGAGGUGCUUUGACGCCCCCAGACG